rnacentral:ncRNA from 1 species
UUUAGAUAAAGGCAAACUUGUCGAAAGAUAAGGACGCAAAGCCAAGGGCCUAAGGCAUAAACUUGCUAAGGUAGCCGGUUACCUAA